UUUACUGUCACAGCUCAUGCAGAGCUGUAUGCACCAGCUGCUGGGUUAUAGACUCGGGCUCACUGAGGAUUUGGAAAACUGUUCUAGUUUUAAAAGAAAAAUUCCUAUGUUUCUAUAAAAGGAAACAACACAAGGAUGUCUGGAAUCAAAGGAACCUUUGAAACAAAACUUCUGAGCGGGUGUUUAUGUUUCGUAGCAGAUUAAGUUAUCAGCCACAUGCAGAGUGUGGCGCAGGUGAUAAAUGGCUGUGGGAGAGCGCAGGCCGAUGCUUCCUCUUGCCGGGCAGCAACUGGGGCAGAGUUUGUGGUGUUGACAAGCCCGCUUCUGCCACAGGAGAGGCGAUAGGAAAGUGAGUACCAAGGAAAUGGCUGAGGUGGCCAGAUAAACACGGUAGUUAAGCGGAGCUGCUCAAGCCUGUGGAGGUUAGAGAGUCUGCUGUGGUGGGAGGGUCCCGCAGGUUUUAUGCUGCUCUGUCCAGAAAUGGGCUGCAGGGGGGUUGCAUAGAGCAGCAAAUUGUAUUUUACAGCGCAGCUAAUUAACUGUUCAGAGCCUCCGCACAAAAGUAGUGCGAGCAGACACAUGAUGGGGUAGUCUGUGUCUUCAGCAUCUCCUGGAUCAGCAGCGGGGCGGUCCUGAGUGUCUUGAGCCCCCCCGUCGUGCUCCUACGCUGUCCCUCAGGAGCUCGCCCUCACCUUCAGGGCAUGGCGGGCGUAGGCAUCCUCUCCAGAGGCUCACCUGCAGGAGCUUUUCCAUGCUAUGUUACAGUGUGUCCCAGCAGGGAAAGGAGGAGAGAAUUCACUGUUGCACGUGCCAAGCUGUGUUAUUUCUGUUCCUGAAGAGCACGGUGAUGCCGUUAUCACAACAGUGAGGGUGAACCAGGCGGACGUCUCUCAUUCUGUUUUUUAAGCUGAAGCCUCCCAGCCUGCUGUUCCUCUCAUGGAAACUCUUCCAGCCGAUCCCUUUCGGGAGAAGGGGCCCAGGAGUGCUUGCUCUGUGGAAGAAUUGGGUGAGCAUGGAGUGAAACAGAUGGUGCAGGGAUGUUCUCUCUUGUUGUCCCUCUGCCUCAGGUGACUCCUGACAUCUGUGUUGGUUUUUGACCUCCUCUCAUUUUUUAUGCCUUUGGCCUGUCUCAUGGGCACAUCCUGACUGCUGCUCACCCAUUAAGAUGAGGCAGGGAGCAGUUGUACAUUUCCUCAGGGUUUUGCCAGCUGACUUAAGCGCGGCCAUGCACAGGGGCUCUGACAAAGUGGUAAACCAAAGAAGAAAUGUGCUGUGUGGCUUCCUGUGAAGGUGCAUGCCACCCUAUUCCCUUGUGGGAGAGCUCCCUGCAAAGAAAACACUUGUGGAUAUCUCUGGAGACUGGCUUCAUGUCAGCCAGCUGCCCCUGUGGCCUCUCACCGGUGCAAAAAGGACCUGCAGAGCCUCCUGGUUGCAUCUCGGUAGCUUCUGGAGAGAACCUGUGUGCUCCAGGCUGCCUCGGGCCCACCACUGUCCCUGUCUGCAGCUAUUACGGAUGACCACCUCGGUCCCAUAUGCUGGAUUCAUGCCGCAGCUCCUUCCCACUGACAGACCAUCCUGCGGGCUGUACUGGCGAAACCUGGUGGUGCUGUCUCACUUCUGUCAUUUGGCACUAAUGGAGUCCUUCAUGUCAUCUGUGAUGACCAGAUUGUUUUAUUGAUUGAGUGUAGCUGGUUAUCUCUGAGAGCAAAAGGAUGCUCUGCGAUUCCCAGGGGACACUGCCAGGCACCACUCUGGUCUGUCUUCAAGUUCAACUGAGCCUUCCCUUAGCUUUAUCCAUGCUGUUUUGGUAAAGUAGCGUUUGCAGCUGGAAAAACUCCAUCAAUAAUUUCAGAGGGAAAUUUCUUUGUAUGCAAAUGAGAUGGAGAUUGAACCUUCAUAACCCUCUGGCUGCUGUGAGUUUAUCUGUGUCACUGAGGGGUUUUUGUUGCUGUGCCUUCUGUGUCUUUUUAGGGUCUUCUCUGAGUGUGACUGAAUAGUCAAGACCUACUUCUUUCCAGCUGUCCAAGCGUGGGGUUUUUUUCCUCCAGACUUUGCAGUCUCCUGAGCGAGCCUUUCUGCUUUUGCGCAGGCCCUUCUGUCUGACAAGGUGUCCUUGCAACAUCAGCACUCGGCCAAUGCAUCACGAUCUUGCCCGUGAGGCAUCCUUUGCCAGCCUGGCAGAGGGUCCCAGCUCUGCCUCGCAGCGCACACCUACACCAAGCGGGCACUGCAGUGCAGCGGUGAGCCCGCAUCGUCUCCAGCACACUCCAGAGCGGGAGGAGGUGGCGCAUCCGUGCGAGCACGUGGGUCUCAUGCUUUGUGGCAUCCCUCCAACAUGUGCCCUGUAUUCCCUUAUUGGUAUUCAUGUAAUGAAAUCUCAUCUUCUGGGGAAAACUAAUUACACAAAGGCUAAUUGAGAUCUCGCCAGUGUGGGAGGUAGGGAAGUGUGAUCUUUGGCCAAAAAUACCCAACAGUUUUGAAACAACUGAGCUAUUUUUCAUUCAAUUGAUCUAUUUUUGUUGCCGAUUGUGACACUGUCCUCCUCUUUUUCUUCUCUGGUACCCCACAUGAAGCGGGCACAAGGCUCAUAUCCCUGUGAGAGAUGUGAUUUUCUCUGUCUUGAGAAGAGGGACUCGGUACCGCAGGCUUUGCCAUCCUGUAUGUCUUCCAUACUGCUGUAGCCAGUCCCACGGAGCAUUGUCCCCUGUCAUGGUGAUGGAGGUGCUGCCUCCCUGCUGUGUGCACUGUGGUGGGAGCACAGGGAGGAGGAGACCUUGUGAGGGCUCUAGUCCAGAGGAGGCCAUGAAGAUGAUCAGAGGGCUGGAGCACCUCCCUGAUGAGGACAGGC